rnacentral:siRNA from 1 species
UAUCUUUGUUUCAUUUACUGC